AACGAACGCUGGCGGCAUGCCUAACACAUGCAAGUCGAACGAGAUCUUCGGGUCUAGUGGCGCACGGGUGCGUAACGCGUGGGAAUCUGCCCUUUGGUUCGGAAUAACAGUUGGAAACGACUGCUAAUACCGGAUGAUGACGAAAGUCCAAAGAUUUAUCGCCAGAGGAUGAGCCCGCGUAGGAUUAGCUAGUUGGUGUGGUAAAGGCGCACCAAGGCGACGAUCCUUAGCUGGUCUGAGAGGAUGAUCAGCCACACUGGGACUGAGACACGGCCCAGACUCCUACGGGAGGCAGCAGUGGGGAAUAUUGGACAAUGGGCGAAAGCCUGAUCCAGCAAUGCCGCGUGAGUGAUGAAGGCCUCAGGGUUGUGAAGCUCUUUUACCCGGGAUGAUAAUGACAGUACCGGGAGAAUAAGCUCCGGCUAACUCCGUGCCAGCCGCCGCGGUAA
rnacentral:rRNA from 1 species